rnacentral:rRNA from 1 species
UACGUAGGUGACAAGCGUUGUCCGGAUUUACUGGGCGUAAAGAGCGCGCAGGCGGUCGAUCAAGUCGAGUGUGAAAGCCCCCGGCUCAACUGGGGAGGGUCAUUCGAUACUGAUCGACUCGAAGGCAGGAGAGGGUAGUGGAAUUCCCGGUGUAGUGGUGAAAUGCGUAGAUAUCGGGAGGAACACCAGUGGCGAAGGCGCUGGGCUGGACGGCUAUUGACGCUGAGGUGCGAAAGCGUGGGGAGCAAACAGG